AACCGCCGUAUACGGAACCGUACGUACGGUGGUGUGAGAGGUCCCGGGCUAGCCGCUCCCUCCUACUCAAU
rnacentral:ncRNA from 1 species